AACGGCCGCGGUACCCUAACCGUGCGAAGGUAGCGCAAUCACUUGUUCUUUAAAUGAGGACUAGUAUGAAUGGCAUCACGAGGGUUAUACUGUCUCCCUCUUUUAAUCAGUGAAACUGAUCUUCCCGUGAAGAAGCGGGAAUACAUCUAUAAGACGAGAAGACCCCAUGGAGCUUUAAACUCAGUAUCAACUGCCCUCCCAAUAUAUCCACCUAAUUAAGCAGACAUGACUACUAGUUUUCGGUUGGGGUGACCGCGGAGCAAAACAAAACCUCCACGAUGAAAGGAAUUAACCUCCUAAUCAAAGAGCUACAUCUCUAAGAAUCAACAAAUUGACAUUUAUUGAUCCAAUUUUUUUGAUCAACGAACCAAGUUACCCUGGGGAUAACAGCGCAAUCCAUUUCAAGAGCCCCUAUCGACAAAUGGGUUUACGACCUCGAUGUUGGAUCAGGGUAUCCCAGUGGUGCAGCCGCUACUAAAGGUUCGUUUGUUCAACGAUAAAAACCCU
rnacentral:rRNA from 1 species